rnacentral:rRNA from 1 species
GAUGAACGCUGGCGGCGUGCCUAAUACAUGCAAGUCGAGCGAACGGACGAGAAGCUUGCUUCUCUGAUGUUAGCGGCGGACGGGUGAGUAACACGUGGAUAACCUACCUAUAAGACUGGGAUCACUUCGGGAAACCGUAGCUAAUACCGGAUAAUAUUUUGAACCGCAUGGUUCAAAAGUGAAAGACGGUCUUGCUGUCACUUAUAGAUGGAUCCGCGCUGCAUUAGCUAGUUGGUAAGGUAACGGCUUACAAAGGCAACGAUGCAUAGCCGACCUGAGAGGGUGAACGCACACACUGGAACUGAGACACGGUCCAGACUCCUACGGGAGGCAGCAGUAGGGACUCUUCCGCAAUGGGCGAAAGCCUGACGGAGCAACGCCGCGGGAGUGAUGAAGGUCUUCGGAUCGUAAAACUCUGUUAUUAGGGAAGAACAUAUGUGUAAGUAACUGUGCACAUCUUGACGGUACCUAAUCAGAAAGCCACGGCUAACUACGUG